UUCGGGUCUUUUAUAAAUGACUACAAGGUUAGGGUUUUGCUCAUUGUUGAUUGCAUAUAGAAAUAAGAUUGUUAUGUAUGCCACUGGACGAACACUAAUUGUGAAUAUUUUGAUGGGAAACUAUUGAGUAUCAAAGUUCCAAAUUAAUUUCGGGAUUUAUUUUCUUUCUCGAUAUUCAAUAACAGAAAAAAAAAUUGCUUGUCCGCUAAAUAGGGAUUUUCUUGUUAAACAUCGUUAAAAAGAUGUGUGUCUAAGGUGAACGCCA
rnacentral:lncRNA from 1 species